GUGGCAAAACGUCGAGGCCAUCAAUUCUUCUGAUCAUUGCACUUCGUCUAGUGUAUCUUGCAACAUAGCGGGAAGCGUUACUGGACUAAGCUUAAUUAGUACCAAUAUAACAGGGAAGCUUUCUUGUUUCAACUUCUCUUGCUUUCCAAACAUGGAAAGUCUCAUUCAUUCGGAUAAUAAUCUCUUUGGAAGCAUUCCGUCACAAAUUAGUACUCUUACAAAGCUCAUAUGCCUUGGCCUGUAUAACAACAAUAUUAAAGGUUCUAUCCCUUCAGAAAUUGGGUUCUUGAAGAAUCUGGAGAAGUUGGAUUUGAGUGGUAACAAUCUCAAUGGUCAAUCCCUUCAACUCUUGGUCAAUUAACCCAGUUGAGCUUUUUGUACCUCUCUAGUAACAAGCUUGAUGGUCAAAUCCCUUCAAGAAUAGUUCAAACAUAUGGAUAAAAGAUGUCAACUCCCUACCAAAUCAUCUAUUAUGAGUGGAGAUUUGUUCUCAAUAUGGAAUUUUGAUUUUAGACUUGCAUUUCAAGAUAUAAUUGAAGCAACGCAGGAUUUUGACAUCAAAUAUUGCAUUGGAACUAGAGGUUAUGGCAGUGUUUACAAAGCACAAUUACCAAGUGGCAAAGUAGUUGCUUUGAAGAAGCUUCAUAAUUCAGAAAUUGAGGAGUUUAUAAAAUGAAUGUGAUAUGUUUUCAGAUUUUCAAAAUAUGUAUAUAUUAUGUGUUAUGUUUUUCAUGAUGAAACCAAGAGGAUGUUUUAUGAAAAGUAUAUUCAGUAAACGGGUUUUACAAGUUUUACAGAUUUUUACACGACACGUCUCAGUUACCCGAGUCUCAUGGGUGCGCC